GACGAACGCUGGCGGCGUGCCUAAUACAUGCAAGUAGAACGCUGAAGAGAGGAGCUUGCUCUUCUUGGAUGAGUUGCGAACGGGUGAGUAACGCGUAGGUAACCUGCCUUGUAGCGGGGGAUAACUAUUGGAAACGAUAGCUAAUACCGCAUAACAAUGGAUGACACAUGUCAUUUAUUUGAAAGGGGCAAUUGCUCCACUACAAGAUGGACCUGCGUUGUAUUAGCUAGUAGGUGAGGUAACGGCUCACCUAGGCGACGAUACAUAGCCGACCUGAGAGGGUGAUCGGCCACACUGGGACUGAGACACGGCCCAGACUCCUACGGGAGGCAGCAGUAGGGAAUCUUCGGCAAUGGGGGCAACCCUGACCGAGCAACGCCGCGUGAGUGAAGAAGGUUUUCGGAUCGUAAAGCUCUGUUGUAAGUCAAGAGCGAGUGUGAGAGUGGAAAGUUCACACUGUGACGGUAGCUUACCAGAAAGGGACGGCUAACUACGUGCCAGCAGCCGCGGUAAUACGUAGGUCCCGAGCGUUGUCCGGAUUUAUUGGGCGUAAAGCGAGCGCAGGCGGUUUGAUAAGUCUGAAGUUAAAGGCUGUGGCUCAACCAUAGUUCGCUUUGGAAACUGUCAAACUUGAGUGCAGAAGGGGAGAGUGGAAUUCCAUGUGUAGCGGUGAAAUGCGUAGAUAUAUGGAGGAACACCGGUGGCGAAAGCGGCUCUCUGGUCUGUAACUGACGCUGAGGCUCGAAAGCGUGGGGAGCGAACAGGAUUAGAUACCUUGGUAGUCCACGCCGUAAACGAUGAGUGCUAGGUGUUGGAUCCUUUCCGGGAUUCAGUGCCGCAGCUAACGCAUUAAGCACUCCGCCUGGGGAGUACGACCGCAAGGUUGAAACUCAAAGGAAUUGACGGGGGCCCGCACAAGCGGUGGAGCAUGUGGUUUAAUUCGAAGCAACGCGAAGAACCUUACCAGGUCUUGACAUCCCGAUGCUAUUUCUAGAGAUAGAAAGUUACUUCGGUACAUCGGUGACAGGUGGUGCAUGGUUGUCGUCAGCUCGUGUCGUGAGAUGUUGGGUUAAGUCCCGCAACGAGCGCAACCCCUAUUGUUAGUUGCCAUCAUUCAGUUGGGCACUCUAGCGAGACUGCCGGUAAUAAACCGGAGGGAGGUGGGGAUGACGUCAAAUCAUCAUGCCCCUUAUGACCUGGGCUACACACGUGCUACAAUGGUUGGUACAACGAGUUGCGAGUCGGUGACGGCAAGCUAAUCUCUUAAAGCCAAUCUCAGUUCGGAUUGUAGGCUGCAACUCGCCUACAUGAAGUCGGAAUCGCUAGUAAUCGCGGAUCAGCACGCCGCGGUGAAUACGUUCCCGGGCCUUGUACACACCGCCCGUCACACCACGAGAGUUUGUAACACCCGAAGUCGGUGAGGUAACCUUUUGGAGCCAGCCGCCUAAGGUGGGAUAGAUGAUUGGGGUG
rnacentral:rRNA from 1 species